CUAGCUUGCUAGGCGGAUUAGUGGCGCACGGGUGAGUAACGCAUAGAUGACAUGCCCUUUAGUUUGGGAUAGCCACUAGAAAUGGUGAUUAAUACCAAAUACUACCCUACGGGGGAAAGAUUUAUCGCUAAAGGAUUGGUCUAUGUCCUAUCAGCUUGUUGGCGGGGUAAGAGCCCACCAAGGCAAUGACGGGUAUCCGGCCUGAGAGGGUGAACGGACACACUGGAACUGAGACACGGUCCAGACUCCUACGGGAGGCAGCAGUAGGGAAUAUUGCUCAAUGGGCGCAAGCCUGAAGCAGCAACGCCGCGUGGAGGAUGAAGGUUUUAGGAUUGUAACCCCCUUUU
rnacentral:rRNA from 1 species